GCCGCUGUAGCUCAGCUUGGUAGAGCGACGGUUUCAUAAGCCGUAGGUCGCGUGUUCAAAUCUACGCCAGCGGCA
rnacentral:tRNA from 1 species